rnacentral:rRNA from 1 species
AAUGGCUUAACCAUUAAACUGCUUGGGAAACUGAUAGUCUAGAGUGAGGGAGAGGCAGAUGGAAUUGGUGGUGUAGGGGUAAAAUCCGUAGAUAUCACCAAGAAUACCCAUUGCGAAGGCGAUCUGCUGGAACUCAACUGACGCUAAGGCGCGAAAGCGUGGGGAGCAAACAGGAUUAGAUACCCUGGUAGUCCACGCCCUAAACGAUGUACACUAGUUGUUGGGAUGCUAGUCAUCUCAGUAAUGCAGCUAACGCAUUAAGUGUACCGCCUGGGGAGUACGGUCGCAAGAUUAAAACUCAAAGGAAUAGACGGGGACCCGCACAAGCGGUGGAGCAUGUGGUUUAAUUCGAAGAUACGCGAAGAACCUUACCUGGGCUUGAUAUCCUAAGAACCUUAUAGAGAUAUGAGGGUGCUAGCUUGCUAGAACUUAGAGACAGGUGCUGCACGGCUGUCGUCAGCUCGUGUCGUGAGAUGUUGGGUUAAGUCCCGCAACGAGCGCAACCCACGUAUUUAGUUGCUAACGGUUCGGCCGAGCACUCUAAAUAGACUGCCUUCGUAAGGAGGAGGAAGGUGUGGACGACGUCAAGUCAUCAUGGCCCUUAUGCCCAGGGCGACACACGUGCUACAAUGGCAUAUACAAUGAGACGCAAUACCGCGAGGUGGAGCAAAUCUAUAAAAUAUGUCCCAGUUCGGAUUGUUCUCUGCAACUCGAGAGCAUGAAGCCGGAAUCGCUAGUAAUCGUAGAUCAGCCAUGCUACGGUGAAUACGUUCCCGGGUCUUGUACUCACCGCCCGUCACACCAUGGGAGUUGAUUUCACUCGAA